rnacentral:lncRNA from 1 species
CUGAGACAUCGUUCUCUAGUUUUGGUAUCAGGAUAAUAUUUGUCUCAUGGAAUGGCUUGGGAAGUGUUCCCUCUUCUACAUUUUUGUAAGGACUUGUGAAAUAUUACUGCUAUUUCUUUUUCUUUUUUUAAUUUUAUUUAUUUGACAGAGAUCACAAGUGGGCAGAGAGGCAAGCAGAGAGAGAGAGAAGAGGAAGCAGGCUCCCCGCGGAGCAGAGAGCCCGAUGCGGGACUUGAUCCCAGGACCCUGAGAUCAUGACCUGAGCUGAAGGCAGAGGCCCAACCCACCUGAUCCAUGCAGCAGGAAGUCCCAAGUCAGUGGGUCCGAGCUGUCCUGAUCAGUGAGCACCUACUCAGAGGCGGGGAAUCUGUUUCAAUGGAGAGAAUUGCUCCUUCUGCUACCGAAGCCCCAAGAAGUGGCAGAUGCC